rnacentral:rRNA from 1 species
UACGUAGGGGGCGAGCGUUGUUCGGAAUCACUGGGCGUAAAGGGCGCGUAGGCGGCCCUCCUAGUCGCGUGUGAAAGCCCCGGGCUCAACCUGGGAACGGCGCGCGAAACGGGGGGGCUGGAGUUCGGGAGAGGGAUGCGGAAUUCCAGGUGUAGCGGUGAAAUGCGUAGAUAUCUGGAGGAACACCGGUGGCGAAGGCGGCAUCCUGGACCGAUACUGACGCUGAGGGGCGAAAGCCAGGGGAGCAAACGGG